rnacentral:rRNA from 1 species
GACGGAGGAGGCAAGCGUUAUCCGGAAUUAUUGGGCGUAAAGCGUCCGUAGGCGGUUGUUCAAGUCUUUAGUUAAAGGUUGGGGCUUAACUUCAAAUAGGCUAAGGAAACUGAGCGACUUGAGUAUGGUAGGGGUAGAGGGAAUUCCUGGUGUAGCGGUGAAAUGCGUAGAUAUCAGGAAGAACACCAGUGGCGAAGGCGCUCUACUGGGCCAUAACUGACACUGAGGGACGGAAGCUAGGGGAGCGAAAGGG